GGAUAAUGUGUUUAUAUUUACACUAUAAAAAUAAUUAGUUAAGAUAAUAUUAUCAA
rnacentral:tRNA from 1 species